rnacentral:rRNA from 1 species
AACGAACGCUGGCGGCAUGCCUAACACAUGCAAGUCGAACGAAACCUUCGGGUCUUGUGGCGCCCGGGUUCGUCACGCGUGGGAACCUGCCUUUAGGUCCGGAAUACCUCAGAGACAUUUGAGCUAAUACCGGAUGAUGUCUUCGGACCAAGGAUUUAUCGCCUUUCAAUGGUCGCGCGUUGGAUUAGCUAGUUGGUGGGGUUAAGGCCUACCAAGGCGCCGAUCCAUAACUGGUAAGAGAGGAUGAUCACCGACACUGAGAGGGAGACACGGCCCAGAAUCCUACGGGAUGCAGCAGUGCGGGAUAUUGGACAAUGGGCUGAAGCAUGAUCCAGCUAGGACGCGUGAGUUAUGUAGGCCUUAGGGUAGUAAAGCUCAUUUAACCGAGAUGAUAAUGACAGUACCGGGAGAAUAAGCUCCGGCUAACUCCGUG